UUGCGGAAGGAUCAUUG
rnacentral:rRNA from 1 species